AGCCCCCCACACAGGGCUCGAACUCAUGAACCGUGGGAUCAUGACCUGAGCCAAAGUCGGAUAUUUAACCAACUGAGCCACCCAGGCGCUCCGAUGACUAAUAUUUUCAAUGCCCAUCAGGCUAGUAAAGUGAAUUUGGCUUUACCCUGCAAUGGUGUAGGACAAACCCAAGUAUUUUCUAAUACUGCUUGUUUUCCCCUUGUAGGGGAUUUUUUUCUGCAUAUGGGAGAUCAAGCCAGAGUUACUAAUAACAGCCACAUCCAUGGUUUGUAUUAAAAACAACUAUUUACCACUGUGGGCUAUAGCUCGACCUACCAUGGGCUCAUCUGGGAAGAUGUACUAGUUAUCUAUAUAAUAAUUAUGCCCUCUUUCAAAAAUGAUCAGAAAAUUAGUUAAAAAGUACUUCAAAUUAGGUCUAAAACUUAAAAGUAGAAAGAUAAUAAAAAUGAUACCUGACAUUGUCCAUUUACAGUGUGCCAAGCAGAGACUAUUAUAAGCUCUUGCCAUGUUUUAACUCAUGAUCUUCAGAGGGAGGGUAUUAUUUUCAGAUGAAAGAUGAAGAAGUGGCAACAGAGAAGUUGAGUAACUUGUCCAAGGUCACAUUGCUAGUAAUAAUGGCAGAGCUGGAUCCAGACCCAGACCAAGCUGAUUCCAGAGACUGUGUUCCUGACCACUGCACUGCAAAAGGACAUUUGGUUUCUUUGAGACUUCUGUUUCUUUAUUUGUGUUCGCAAAUGGACUCUUGUUUGUUUUUAAUAGAAAAAAAAUUAUAUGUAUUUAGAAAUUUUUAAAGUUUAUGAAGGUAAUUGUAAGUAUUUUUCCAACUAAUGUAUAUAAUCCUAGUGGAAAUUAUGUAAAAACAGAGAAGGUCUUAAUUCUAACUAUAAAUUUCCUUUGUUGUUCUUCCACUAACAUUACCAUAUACAUCAUGGGAGAAGAGCUGUAAGCUAUCUCCUUGGCCUCUCAUUACAAACAAAAGGAUCAUUUAUGCCAGUUUAGCAUGUAACAUGUGUUUGUUGACUGAAAAUGCAAGUAUCCAGCUCAUUUUACUUACAACUUUAUUUUGAAGGGGUUUGCAGCCCUCUUCCUGUUUUAUUGAAGCUUUUUAGAGUUACUAAUUGUGAUUUCUGAGAUAGAAGGACUAAAGAGUUUUAAUUUGGGAAGUUAAUUUUUAAGGCAACCAAAGCAAUUAUUCUGUGUUUUAGAGCUAUGCAAAGGCCAUUGGAAACUAGUCUCAGAAAUGUAUGCUAUUUUAUAUGUGAUGGUCUCAGCAUUUUUCCUUGGAGGUAGAUUGUAAAGUUAAAUUUUGGGGCCAAAAUUUAUUACCCUAAAGUGUGCUGAUUUGAAUUUGAGAGGUCAAGUCAGGGAGGAGAAAAACUUCAAUUCCCUGAGCAGAGAGUAUAAACUUAUUCAAAUAAACAGAGGAUGUUGUCUUCCAGGAUUGUCAAACUGUCACCUUUGACCAGGGUUGAAUUUUCUUUGAAUGUUGACAGAAGUUACAAUGUCAGUGGAAAAAGCUUAAUGUGAAGUAUCUAUAACUCAGAAUUUCCUUAUGUUUGUGUCAGUGAGAUCCUACAAUUAAAGCAGUUUUUUUUUUUCUCUA